UGCCUGGGUAGCUCAAUCGGUAGAGCGUGUGACUCUUAAUCUCAAGGUCGCGGGUUCGAGCCCCGCCUCGGGCU